CCCAGACACUUAGUCCCUUAGGAAUGCCAGGAUUCCAGCUCACACCUGAUUCCACUGUAGCUGUUUUCAGGACCUGGGCAGGAGCUCUGCAGUGAGCCAGAGGAGAGCCCUAAGUUGCGCACAGUUUGUGACCACAGUUAUGUCAACUUAGGUGUCCAGCUUGAGGGUGAGGGUAGGGAGCAGACACACCUGUGGAUGGUUGGGUUUGAGUGGUAGGAUUAGGGGUGGGCCUCUUCUGCCUCCCUGAUGAGCAUCAGUUUGGCGUGGGCUUGAGGCAUGGCUCCAUCGCGGUCCGGUGGCCAUUGGGAGCGUCAUCCCACGCCAGAGUGCUCAGAGGACAUGUGGGCAGCACCAGCUCACAUGGUCAGCUCAGCGCCCUCCCCUAGCUGCUCCCUGAGUCAACACCCACCUCCCAGCUAGUGUCCAGGCUGCAGGGGCUCUGGACAGCAAGGGCCUGGAAGCUGGAUGCUCAGUGCCUGGAUGACUCCAAGUCACCACCUCUUGGCCACAGAGGGGAAACACUUGGGGCUCUCCACUCUAGCGGCCACCUCCCAUGUCUCAGUGUCAGGAGCAUCAUUGGCCUCACUGGUGCCCUAAUGGGGCGAGUUAGCCAGAGCUCGGUGUUGCUUUGUCUGAUGUGCAGGCGGAGCCCACCUGUGGUGGGAGACCCAGGAAGCAGGUAUGGCCACACUGUGUUUGGCUUAUUCAUCUCCCAAAUCAGGGCUGGUGAAACUUUACCCAGCCACCACUCUGUAGUGACCAUUUUUUUAUGAAAAAUUUAGUGAGCGGAGAAGCAGUGGUUGCGCUGUGGGAAUGCUCCAUGCUUGGUGACAGUGGUAGAUGAAGCCUCUGGGAGAAGAGCAGCUCCCCCAGGGGUUUUGGGUACAGGGAGAAAUAUGUGGACCCCCCAAGACCCAGGAAACCUUGGAGACCUUCCUCCAGAAUUGCUCUUCCCAGACCCACCCUACUCUGUUCAUGAUCCAGCUGGCCAUGACCUGCACAGCCAUCAGUUCAGACACUGGAGAGGGGCCAUGGGGUGCUGGGAGCCAUUAGCCAAGUAGGUAUGACAAUUUCCUUGCCAGCGUACCCCAUGUUGCUUAGUGGAAGGACUCGUGGAAAUAGGACAUUUUGCAGUGACAUUGCAUCUAAGGUGACCUUGCUCAAGGACCAGGGCGGAUCCGGGUUUAGGGUGUUCCUGGUUUAGGAUAAUCCGGGUUUAGGGCGUUCCAGGUUUAAGGUUAUUCCUGCUGGGAAUAGGGCAUAUCCUGCUGCCUGAGUUCCCCUUGAGUUCUCACGGGAUUCAGACAGUAUUUUUUGGGAGACAGAAGCCCAGUGGGGGUGGAUUUGGGCAGAGAACGUGGAUUUCCCCAGAACGUGAUUGUAGACGGCUGGUGUGAAUUUGGGAAUAAAGAGUUGC
rnacentral:lncRNA from 1 species